rnacentral:rRNA from 1 species
GAGGAAUAUUGGUCAAUGGGCGAGAGCCUGAACCAGCCAAGUCGCGUGAAGGAAGAAGGAUCUAUGGUUCGUAAACUUCUUUUGCAGGGGAAUAAAGUGCAGGACGUGUCCUGUUUUGUAUGUACCUUAUGAAUAAGGAUCGGCUAACUCCGUGCCAGCAGCCGCGGUAAUACGGAGGAUCCAAGCGUUAUCCGGAUUUAUUGGGUUUAAAGGGAGCGUAGGUUGACAUAUAGGUCAGCUGUGAAAGUUUACGGCUCAACCGUGAAAUUGCAGUUGAUACUGUAUGUCUUGAGUGUACAAGAGGUGGGCGGAAUUCGUGGUGUAGCGGUGAAAUGCUUAGAUAUCACGAAGAACUCCAAUUGCGAAGGCAGCUCACUGGGGUACAACUAACACUGAGGCUCGAAAGUGUGGGUAUCAAAC